AGCGAACGCUGGCGGCAGGCCUAACACAUGCAAGUCGAACGAACCCUUCGGGGUUAGUGGCGGACGGGUGAGUAACACGUGGGAACGUGCCCUUUGGUUCGGAACAACUCAGGGGAAACUUGAGCUAAAUACCGAAUGUGCCCCUACGGGGGAAAGAUUUAUUGCCAUUGGAGCGGCCCGCGUCUGAUUAGCUUGUUGGUGAGGUUAAAGGCUCACCAAGGCUUCGAUCAGUAGCUGGUCUGAGAGGAUGAUCAGCCACAUUGGGACUGAGACACGGCCAAACUCUACGGGAGGCAGCAGUGGGGAAUCUUGCGGCAAUGGGCGAAAGCCUGACGCAGCCAUGCCGCGUGGAUGAUGAAGGUCUUAGGA
rnacentral:rRNA from 1 species